UCCGGCAUGAAUUAGGCUGUCUAUUGCCUCUUUAGAGUUUUAUUUUGAGUUAGUACUAAUAAAUUUAUAAUUUAAUUAUUAGGUGAUCGAGAUCAACUAUUUUCCUGCAUCCAGCAGCCACAAUAGUCGACGGUGUACUGCCACAGGAGGAGUUAUUUUACAGAGCAACCUGUUUUCUUCCUCGCAGGUUUAACGUCGAUUGUUUAAUUGUAUUAUUAUUCUCUAAAUUUGUAAUUUAGGACUCCGCAUGUGCUAGUAGUAGCAUUAAGCCUGUCAGGGACUGUAUGAAUUCAAGUUUGCGUAUUAAUAAAUGAAAAGAAAAAUUUUACGAGUUUUAAA